GGCGCUUUGGCGGAGUGGUUAUCGCGCAAGACUAGAAAUCUUGUUCCUUCGGGAGCGCAGGGUAAGCUUUAUCACCUCCAGUCUCCA